AGCGAACGCUGGCGGCAGGCCUAACACAUGCAAGUCGAACGAAGUCUUCGGACUUAGUGGCGGACGGGUGAGUAACACGUGGGAACGUGCCUUUAGGUUCGGAAUAACUCAGGGAAACUUGUGCUAAUACCGAAUGUGCCCUUCGGGGGAAAGAUUUAUCGCCUUUAGAGCGGCCCGCGUCUGAUUAGUUAGUUGGUGAGGUAAAGGCUCACCAAGGCUACGAUCAGUAGCUGGUCUGAGAGGAUGACCAGCCACAUGGGGACUGAGACACGGCCCAAACUCCUACGGGAGGCAGCAGUGGGGAAUCUUGCGCAAUGGGCGAAAGCCUGACGCAGCCAUGCCGCGUGGAUGAUGAAGGUCUUAGGAGUGUAAAAUCCUUUCACCGGUGAAGAUAAUGACUGUAGCCGGAGAAGAAGCCCCGGCUAACUUCGUGCCAGCCGCCGCUGUAAUAC
rnacentral:rRNA from 1 species